ACAUCGAUCAAAUCAAGAACCUCGUGUGGAUACCUAUAGAGGCCGGACGCGUGUGCGGCUUCAAGAGAACCGAAUUCCACGAUCAUCAAAUUGAGGGGAAGAUCUAUCCGCGAAAAAGGUAAAGAUUCGAUCUUGUUUUUCUUCUUUAAUUUUAAAACAUGAGGGAUCCUAAUUGCGUGGUUUUUGAGAUUGGAUCUCGAGAGUUUUCAAAAAUCAAAUUUGUUUGAUUUUUUUUUCCGCUGCGUUUUUACCGUACGCAAUUUUCUAACAGUGGUAUCAGAGCCAUCCUCAUGUUUUUAAGAUUAAAAUUAUAAAUUUAGGUAUUCUAAACCGUUUUUCGCCGGUAGAACGAUUUAUACAUCGUUUUUGGCUAAUUCGAAAAGUUCGAAUUGAUCAAACAAUUUAAUCAAUGGUUUCUUGUUUGCUAUCAAAAAAAAAAAA
rnacentral:lncRNA from 1 species